AGAUCUGUUAGGCUGCAGUACCUAUCCCCCUAGUUAGACCCAGAUCUGUUAGGCUGCAGUACCUAUCCCCCUAGUUAGACCCAGGUCUGUUAGGCUGCAGUACCUAUCCCCCUAGUUAGACCCAGGUCUGUUAGGCUGCACUACCUAUCCCCCUAGUUAGACCCAGGUCUGUUAGGCUGCAGUACCUAUCCCCCUAGUUAGACCCAGGUCUGUUAGGCUACAGUACCUAUCCCCCUAGUUAGACCCAGAUCUGUUAGGCUGCAGUACCUAUCCUCCUAGUUAGACCCACGUCUGUUAGGCUACAGUACCUAUACCCCUAGUUAGACCCAGAUCUGUUAGGCUGCAGUACCUAUCCUCCUAGUUAGACCCAGGUCUGUUAGGCUGCAGUACCUAUCCCCCUAGUUAGACCCAGGUCUGUUAGCGCUGCAGUACCUAUCCCCCUAGUUAGACCCAGGUCUGUUAGGCUGCAGUACCUAUCCCCCUAGUUAGACCCAGGUCUGUUAGGCUACACUACCUAUCCCCCAUAGUUAGACCCAAGUCUGUCAGCUACGGUAUCUAUUUCCACUGGUCUUGUUAGGUCUAUCUGGGAGUGCUUAAACUCCAUACUUCCUGCCGUCUGGGCUCCGGACUUUUUAAAUUUUAUUCCUUGAAUUAAGGGUCCAGGUCAAAUAUUUUCGAUUAUGAACCUCAAGGUAUUUUUAUUCUCUGGACAUUGGAGAAUUUCGUUUUUUUUCUCCCCCCCUCUCUCCAUCUCUCAUUUUCUCUUUAUUUGUCUCUGUCUCUCACAGGGAAUAUUCGGAUGGAAAGGUUGAUGAUCUCUCCCAUGGAAAUAAAUUACCCAGAUUUCCUGAGUUAAUGUCAAAAUGGCUGAGUGAUGGGGGGGGGAUCCCACUAAUGAUGUUAUUCAUAAUUCAUAAACUGUUUCACUGUUACCAAGUCUUGUUACUGUAGAAUAAAGAUCAAAGUGAAUAGCAGACUGUUAUUAGAAGUCAACGUCGUCUCAACCACAAUGACAUCUAUAAUGGUUUCCCAGAAGACCGGACUGGGGCACAAUAAUGUACUGUGGUUAAUCUCCCUGGACUGUGUGGGUCUUCCACCUGGUAAUCUACCCGUGGCUGUGUCCCAAGGGCCUUCCCCCUGGUUAUCUCCCUGGGCUUUGUACCAAGGUAUUUCCACCUGGUUAUCUCCCUGGGCUGUGUACCAAGGUAUUUCCCCCUGGUUAUCUCCCUGGGCUUUGUACCAAGGUAUUUCCAUCUGGUUAAUCUCCCUGGGCUUUGUACCAAGGUAUUUCCACCUGGUUAAUCUCCCUGGGCUGUGUACCAAGGUAUUUCCACCUGGUUAUCUCCCUGGGCUGUGUAUCAAGGUAUUUCCCCCUGGUUAUCUCCCUGGGCUUUGUACCAAGGUAUUUCCACCUGGUUAAUCUCCCUGGGCUGUGUACCAAGGUAUUUCCACCUGGUUAUCUCCCUGGGCUGUGUACCAAGGUAUUUCCACCUGGUUAUCUCCCUGGGCUGUGUACCAAGGUAUUUCCACCUGGUUAUCUCCCUGGGCUUUGUACCAAUGUAUUUCCACCUGGUUAAUCUCCCUGGGCUGUGUACCAAGGUAUUUCCACCUGGUUAUCUCCCUGGGCUGUGUAUCAAUGUAUUUCCACCUGGUUAUCUCCCUGGGCUGUGUACCAAGGUAUUUCCACCUGGUUAUCUCCCUGGGCUGUGUAUCAAGGUAUUUCCACCUGGUUAUCUCCCUGGGCUGUGUACCAAGGUAUUUCCACCUGGUUAUCUCCCUGGGCUGUGUACCAAGGUAUUUCCACCUGGUUAUCUCCCUGGGCUGUGUACCAAUGAUGGAGAAUCAGGAUGCAACCAGGGUCUCUGGAGUCUGACCGUAGAGCAUAAAUCACCCCGUGGGUCUCCUGACAGUGACAGUAGAUGUUCUGACAUGAAGUGAAUUCAUGUGAUGGGAUUUUAACAACUCCACUCCAGAAGCCUCACAUCGAUUAACAACAGGGCAGCAGGGGGGACUUCAUAAAUCAUAUGAUUUUAUACUGAUUAACAACAGGCAGCAGGGGGGACUUCAUAAAUCAUAUGAUUUUAUACUGAUUAACAACAGGCAGCAGGGGG
rnacentral:lncRNA from 1 species